rnacentral:rRNA from 1 species
UACAGAGGGGGCAAGCGUUAUUCGGAAUUAUUGGGCGUAAAGGGCGCGUAGGCGGCUUUUCAAGUGGCGGGUGAAAUCCCUCGGCUUAACCGGGGAACUGCCUGCCAGACUGGAUUGCUUGAGGCCGGGAGAGGUGAGUGGAAUUCCCAGUGUAGCGGUGAAAUGCGUAGAUAUUGGGAGGAACACCAGUGGCGAAGGCGGCUCACUGGACCGGUACUGACGCUGAGGCGCGAAAGCGUGGGGAGCAAAC